rnacentral:rRNA from 1 species
AGUGAACGCUGGCGGUAGGCCUAACACAUGCAAGUCGAACGGCAGCACAGUAAGAGCUUGCUCUUACGGGUGUCGAGUGUCGGACGGGUGAGUAAUACAUCGGAAUCUACUUUUUCGUGGGGGAUAACGUAGGGAAACUUACGCUAAUACCGCAUACGACCUACGGGUGAAAGCAGGGGAUCUUCGGACCUUGCGCGAUUGAAUGAGCCGAUGUCGGAUUAGCUAGUUGGCGGGGUAAAGGCCCACCAAGGCCACGAUCCGUAGCUGGUCUGAGAGGGUGAUCCGCCACACUGGAACUGAGAAACGGUACAGACUCUUACGGGAGGACGCAGUGGGGAAUCUUGGACGAUGGGGGAGAGCCGGAUCCAGCAAUACCGCGUGGGUGAAGAAGGACUUCGGGUUGUAAAGCCCUUUUGUUGGGAAAGAAAAGAAGCAGGUUAAUCCCCCGCUGUUCUGACGGUACCCAAAGAAUAAGCACCGGCUAACUUCGUG